rnacentral:rRNA from 1 species
AGAACGAACGCUGGCGGCAUGCCUAAUACAUGCAAGUCGAACGAAGGCUUCGGCCUUAGUGGCGCACGGGUGCGUAACGCGUGGGAAUCUGCCCCUUGGUUCGGAAUAACAGUUGGAAACGACUGCUAAUACCGGAUGAUGACGAAAGUCCAAAGAUUUAUCGCCAAGGGAUGAGCCCGCGUAGGAUUAGCUAGUUGGUGAGGUAAAGGCUCACCAAGGCGACGAUCCUUAGCUGGUCUGAGAGGAUGAUCAGCCACACUGGGACUGAGACACGGCCCAGACUCCUACGGGAGCAGCAGUAGGGAAUAUGGACAAUGGGCAAAG